CCUACGGGUCGCACCAGUGGGGAAUAUUGGACAAUGGGCGAAAGCCUGAUCCAGCAAUACCGCGUGUGUGAAGAAGGUCUUCGGAUUGUAAAGCACUUUCGACGGGGACAAUGAUGACGGUACCCGUAGAAGAAGCCCCGGCUAACUUCGUGCCAGCAGCCGCGGUAAUACGAAGGGGCUAGCGUUGCUCGGAAUGACUGGGCGUAAAGGGCGCGUAGGCGGUAUAUGCAGUCAGAUGUGAAAUCCCCGGGCUUAACCUGGGAACUGCAUUUGAGACGCAUAGACUAGAGGUCGUGAGAGGGUUGUGGAAUUCCCAGUGUAGAGGUGAAAUUCGUAGAUAUUGGGAAGAACACCGGUGGCGAAGGCGGCAACCUGGCUCGAUACUGACGCUGAGGCGCGAAAGCGUGGGGAGCAAACAGGAUUAGAUACCCGGGUAGUC
rnacentral:rRNA from 1 species